rnacentral:rRNA from 1 species
CGGGUGAGUAAUACAUCGGAACGUGUCCCGUAGUGGGGGAUAGCCCGGCGAAAGCCGGAUUAAUACCGCAUAUGCUCUACGGAGGAAAGUGGGGGACUCGCAAGGGCCUCACGCUAUGGGAGCGGCCGAUGUCCGAUUAGCUUGUUGGCGGGGUAAUGGCCCACCAAGGCUACGAUCGGUAGCUGGUCUGAGAGGAUGAUCAGCCACACUGGGACUGAGACACGGCCCAG